AAGAGAUCUCCUGAGAAAGUCUGUUUUGCUUGAAGAGUGUUUAAUAGAUAGAAGGUGCUUCCUUUUUAGGAGCUGAAAUUUACCUUCUAACCAUUCCUUUCAGUCCAAUGAAGAUUCCCUACUGCAAGAAGGGUGUAGGAAUACCACAAAAAGGCUUAUGCAAUACAAGAUGCCUGCUGCCCUUCUAGGAAGAAUCUCUUACUGAAAUGAAAGAAACAAGACCAACCAGAUGACAUUGCCUGCUGGCGGAGGGAGGAUGCAGACUAGCAGGCAGAAAACCAUACUAGCUCUUCCAGGGUGAUGUCCAUCUCCAAAAAAUGAACAUUUCAUGUGAUGUCCCAUAACUGCUCCUUGCUCUGGUCUAUCUUCGUUUUAAUUAAAACUCAGGCUGACACCACCUUCCAGGGCCUUUGCCAGAAAUAGCGCCUGAUUAGCUUCAACCUCUUCCUUGUCUUGGAUCCUGCACUCCUGUAUUGAUUUCUCCUGGAAGCACUUUCCUAUUAAACCACUUACACCUGAAUCCUCGGGUUAGGCUCUACUUCCGGGAAAUCCAGCCCGAGACCCUGGCAAACCCAAGGCUUUUCCACCAGCCCCGUCUUCUCAGGAUUUGCCCGCUGCCUUCUGUGUCAGUCUCCAGCACUGCAGCGCGAGAA